UACGGAGGGUGCGAGCGUUAAUCGGAAUUACUGGGCGUAAAGGGUGCGUAGGUGGUUUGAUAAGUUAACUGUGAAAGCCCUGGGCUCAACCUGGGAAUUGCAUUUAAGACUGUUAGACUUGAGUAUAGGAGAGGGAAGUGGAAUUUCCGGUGUAGCGGUGAAAUGCGUAGAGAUCGGAAGGAACACCAGUGGCGAAGGCGGCUUCCUGGCCUAAUACUGACACUGAGGCACGAAAGCGUGGGGAGCAAACAGG
rnacentral:rRNA from 1 species